CUUCAAUUCUUCAUCCGUGUAAUAUCGUUUUAAAGGCGACAAGUGAUAUUCUAUUAUAUUUUUUCUAUUUGUCAAUUUUACUUAUAUUAUAUUAUUAUCACUAUUUAAUAUGUGAAUCUGCAUUUGGUGAUCGAGUUGUGCUCUGGUGGGGAACUCUUCGAUCGGAUUAUAACCAAAGGGAGCUAUUCAGAGCGUGAAGCAGCGAUGAUUACAAGGGAAAAUGUGAAUGUGGUUCAUGCGUGUCAUUUUAUGAGGAUUCAAUUCUAUCAAAAUUAACGAUCAGAAUACAUUCUGAGUGUAAAGUAUUUCCUUUUCAUUGACAGCUUUCUACCUCUUCAUGACUUACACCGCUUAUUUAUAGAAUCCUACGAUAACACUUUUCGACUCACUCCUCUCAUCUUUGCCAGAAAAGAGGCCAUGGCUCACAUGAUAUUCAGUUUCAUGGUGGAUGCAACUCUCUCCUGGGUUUUUUCACUCAUCAUAUAUGAAAUCAUUCUUGCUUGGAAUCUCAAUGACGACACGAGAUGCCUUCAAGAUUCCCUCACCAUGAUUCGUGCUGUACUUCAAGAUGCAGAGGAACAACAGACCAGGAGAGAACCUGUGAGGCCUUGGCUGAAGAAGCUCAGAGAUGUAGCUUAUGAGGGUGAUGCCGUGUUAAAUAAGUUACGGAUCGACGAUAUUCGACAAAUGGUUGAGAUUCUAGACCAAUCAGGAACAGAGGUAAGCAACUUUUUUUCAUUCUCCAAAGCCAUUCGUUUUGUUAAAAGGUUUGCAUUUCAUGUCAAAAUGGCCCACGAAGUUAAGAAUAUAAAUGAAUCGCUGAAUAAGAUUAAGAAUGAAGCUAUAUGGGUUUUGUGCUUCAAUGUUAAUGUUUAAUGCAGAAUUAAUUUUGAAUAUUUUUUAUGUAUUUGUUAGUUGGCAACUCUUGAAUUAGCCAUAUGUUAGUUUCCUACUUUCUGGCAUUUUUAAUAAGGUUGUUUCAUGAAUAUUUUGUUAGUGCUGUAGUUGCAGAAGAUACUGUUGCAGACUUGUUUGCAGAAGAUACUGUUGCAGAUCUGUUUUCAAUUCUUCGGACUUGUAAAAUUGUCUUAAAGUUUCAUGCACACUUGAAGAUACUGUGGACUGCUAUUAUUAUAUCCAAAUUGCUUUUGCACUCCAUUAAACCAUCUCCCUUGACAAAUCACUUCAUGUUUAUUGUUUCAGCACUAAAUUUGCUUGCUUCAUUUAAACUCACUUUUUUGGUGAUUUCCUUCACAAGGUAGCUAUGGAGCUUCAUGAAGGGCAUGUUGGGAGAUAUUCUUCCAUAUAAUACUUCACGAGGCACUUGAUAGUAGCAUAUGCUCCCAAACACCUUGAAAUGAUGCACUGAGGGUUUGACACCAUUCCAAGCUUCACAUGGUGUACGAUUCUUCAACGCCUUUGUUGGUAAUUUAUUCAGCAAAUAUACAAAGUUCUGUUCUUCCUCUCAGAGACACCGUUCUGCUAUGGUGUGUAUGGUGUUGUUGAUUGAUGUUUUAUGCCUGUAAUGCUACAAAACUCAGCAAAUUGAGUGGAAGUAUAUUCGAUGCCAUUGUCAGAUCUCAAGAUUUUAAUCUUCAUGCCACUUUGAUUCUCUACAAGGGCUUUGAAUCUUUUGAAAAAUGAAAAGACUUCACUUUUGAUUUUGAUAAAGUACACCCAGCACAUUCUCGUAUAAUCAUCAAUAAAGAGAGUGAAGUCUUUGUUACCACUCAAUGAUUCAGUUCUCAUCGGGCCACACACAUCUGUGUGAAUGAGUUGAAGCUUCUCAAUGGCUUUCCAGGAUUGAUUCCUUGGGAAUGGCAAUUUUGCUUGUUUGCCUUGUUGACAAGUCUCACAUAUUUGAGCCUCUUCAGAAAUUUCAGGCAUGUUUUCAACCAGCCCACAUUUCUUUAAGUUUGCUAAACUCCUUUGGUUGAAGUGUCCAAAGCUUCUAUGCCACAAGUUUGAAACACCUUGAGUGAUGCUAGCAAAAGCAUGUUCAAUAGCUUGCUCCCAAUAAAUAGUAAAACUCUUAUUUUUCAUCUUUACAUAAAUUAAUUUUCCUCAAGAAGGAUCAAAGAUGGUGUAUUGAUUGUCUUUGAAUU
rnacentral:misc_RNA from 1 species